UGAGUAACAUAUCGGGAACCGUACCGCGCAGUGGGGGAUAACUAAUCGAAAGAUUAGCUAAUACCGCAUAUUUUCUGAGGAAGAAAGCAGGGGACCAUUUGGCCUUGCGCUGUUUGAGCGGCCGAUAUCUGAUUAGCUAGUUGGUGGGGUAAAGGCCUACCAAGGCGACGAUCAGUAGCGGGUCUGAGAGGAUGAUCCGCCACACUGGGACUGAGACACGGCCCAGACUCCUACGGGAGGCAGCAGUGGGGAAUUUUGGACAAUGGGCGCAAGCCUGAUCCAGCCAUGCCGCGUGUCUGAAGAAGGCCUUCGGGUUGUAAAGGACUUUUGUCAGGGAAGAAAAGGGCGGGG
rnacentral:rRNA from 1 species